UACAGAGGUCUCAAGCGUUGUUCGGAUUCAUUGGGCGUAAAGGGUGCGUAGGUGGCGGGGUAAGUCGGAUGUGAAAGUCGGGGGCUCAACCCUCGAAUGCCGGUGGAUACUGUCGGGCUAGAGUGCGGGAGAGGCGAGUGGAAUUCCUGGUGUAGCGGUGAAAUGCGCAGAUAUCAGGAGGAACACCGGUGGCGAAGGCGGGUCUCUGGGCCGUAACUGACGCUGAGGAGCGAAAGCGUGGGGAGCAAACGGG
rnacentral:rRNA from 1 species